AACGAACGCUGGCGGCGUGUUUAAGACAUGCAAGUCGCACGGGACUAUUUGAGUAGCAAUACAAGGAUAGUUUAGUGGCGCACGGGUGAGUAACACGUGAAUUACAUGCCCUGCAGAGGGGGAUAGCCCAGGGAAACUUGGACUAAUACCACAUGGUAUCGCGAGAUUACAGGUGGCAGCAAGGCUGUCGCUGCAGGAUUGGCUCGCGCCCUAUCAGCUUGUUGGUGAGGUAACGGCUCACCAAGGCUACGACGGGUACCUGGUCUGAGAGGACGAUCAGGCACACUGGAACUGAGACACGGUCCAGACACCUACGGGUGGCAGCAGUCGAGAAUAAUUCACAAUGGGGGCAACCCUGAUGGUGCAACGCCGCGUGGAGGAUGAAGGUCUUCGGAUUGUAAACUCCUGUCAUCCGGGAGUAAGACCUGGCGAUGAAUAGUCGACAGGGUUGAUAGUACCGGAAGAGGAAGGGACGGCUAACUUCGUGCCAGCCGCCGCGGUAA
rnacentral:rRNA from 1 species